GGGGCCUUAGCUCAGAUGGUAGAGCAGUGGAUUCCAAAUCCAAAGGUCAGCGGUUCAAUUCCGUUAGGCCUCA